rnacentral:rRNA from 1 species
CAGCCGCCGCGGUAAUACCGGCGGCCCGAGUGGCGGUCACUAUUAUUGGGCUUAAAGCGUCCGUAGCCGGGUUGGGAAGUCCUCCGGGAAAUCUGGCCGCUUAACGGUCAGAAUGCCGGAGGAUACUCCCAGCCUAGGGAGCGGGAGAGGCCGAGGGUCUUCCCGGAGUAGGGGGGAAAUCCUAUAAUCCCGGGAGGACCACCGGUGGCGAAGGCGCUCGGCUGGAACGCGUCCGACGGUGAGGGACGAAGGCCAGGGGAGCAAACCGGAUUAGAUACCCGGGUAGUCCUGGCUGUAAACGAUGCGGACUUUGUGUCGGACAAGCUAUGAGCUUGUCCGGUGCCGGAGGGAAACCGUUAAGUCCGCCGCCUGGGGAGUACGGCCGCAAGGCUGAAACUUAAAGGAAUUGGCGGG